UUGGGUGUGAAUUGAUUUAUGUUUGGAUACGCUUAUUAAAAGUGAUUUUUAUGAGUUGAUGUUGUUUGGAUAG
rfam:Medicago truncatula strain A17 chromosome 7, whole genome shotgun sequence.